rnacentral:rRNA from 1 species
AGAGUUUGAUCCUGGCUCAGAACGAACGCUGGCGGCGUGGAUAAGACAUGCAAGUCGAGCGCUGAUUACGGGGUAGCAAUAUUCCGUAGUCGGAGCGGCGCAAGGGUGCGUAACACGUGGGUAAUCUGCCAUGAAGUUUGGAAUAACUCGCUGAAAGGCGAGCUAAUGCCGGAUGUGAAAACUGGGAGGCAUCUCUUGGUUUUCAAAGCUGGGGACCGCAAGGCCUGGCGCUUCAUGAUGAGCCCGCGGCCUAUCAGCUAGUUGGUAAGGUAACGGCUUACCAAGGCUAAGACGGGUAGCUGGUCUGAGAGGACGACCAGCCACACUGGAACUGAGACACGGUCCAGACACCUACGGGUGGCAGCAGUCGAGAAUUUUUCACAAUGGGCGCAAGCCUGAUGGAGCGACGCCGCGUGGGGGAUGAAUGGCUUCGGCCCGUAAACCCCUGUCAUUUGCGAUCAACCGUUGUUGUUUAAGAGAUGACAACCUGAUAGUAGCGAAAGAGGAAGGGACGGCUAACUCUGUGCCAGCAGCCGCGGUAAUACAGAGGUCCCAAGCGUUGUUCGGAUUCACUGGGCGUAAAGGGUGCGUAGGUGGCGGGGUAAGUCGGAUGUGAAAUCUCCGAGCUCAACUCGGAAAUGGCAUUGGAAACUGCUCUGCUCGAGGGUUGGAGGGGGGACUGGAAUACUUGGUGUAGCAGUGAAAUGCGUAGAUAUCAAGUGGAACACCAGUGGCGAAGGCGAGUCCCUGGACAACUCCUGACACUGAGGCACGAAAGCUAGGGGAGCAAACAGGAUUAGAUACCCUGGUAGUCCUAGCCGUAAACGGUG